GACGAGCCUCACGAACGUUAUUCGGAAUUACUGGGCUUAAAGGGUGCGUAGGCGGCGCGGAAAGUUGGGUGUGAAAUCCCUCGGCUCAACCGAGGAACUGCGCCCAAAACUACCGUGCUCGAGGAAGAUAGAGGUGAGCGGAACUUCCGGUGGAGCGGUGAAAUGCGUUGAGAUCGGAAGGAACGCCCGUGGCGAAAGCGAGGUCCUGGACCCUUUCUGACGCUGAGGACG
rnacentral:rRNA from 1 species